rnacentral:rRNA from 1 species
UACGUAGGGGGCAAGCGUUGUCCGGAAUCAUUGGGCGUAAAGAGCGCGUAGGCGGCCCAGUAAGUCCGCUCUGAAAGUCAGGGGCUCAACCCCUGGAUGCGGGUGGAUACUGCUGGGCUAGAGUCCGGAAGAGGUGAGUGGAAUUCCUGGUGUAGCGGUGAAAUGCGCAGAUAUCAGGAGGAACACCGAUGGCGAAGGCAGGUCACUGGGCCGCAACUGACGCUGAGGAGCGAAAGCAUGGGGAGCGAACAGG